UCGAUAAUGCAGUUUAACUGUUACUUUAUUAGUUUUAUUUUAGAAUUGCCUUGGAUCUCAUUUUUUUAUUUCGUUGUUUAUGAUCGUGUUUUUGUUGCGGCGCCGCGUUUUAGAAUCUACUAUUUUUCUUCUUCAAGAUAAUCAACAUUGAAAUGGGAAAACCACUCACAGAUAUUGAAAUCACGGAUAUCUUAAAAUAUUACGGUGAAAGAUGGUCAAUUUACCGAAUAUCGAAGAAAAUUCAGCGUAGUCGUGCUGUGGUAAAACGCUUACUUACUGAUCCCUCAGAUUAUCUGAAUAAAAAGAACCGCGGGGGUACUGCAAAACAGAUGGCAAUUUCUAAAUACUUAAUAAAAAUUGAGGAUCGACAAAUAGAUGAGGAAUGUUAUGCAGAUGAUGAGCUUUCGGAGGGAGCAAGUACUUUAGUUGGUUCGGAAAAAAUACCAAAUAAGAUAUUUUUUAAAUUGCCAAUGAAAAAACAUAUACGAAAGAAGUUUGAAGAGUAAUUUUACUUUCAGUAUUUUCGCUAUAUGUAUCUAUGUGUGUCUGUGAAAUGUGUAAUGAAUAAACUGUCCCUCUAAGAGCUA